ACUUUGUGAUAUGGGCAUUUACGCAGGAGGUCCUUAAAACACUCCCAAGUCUCAAAAAAUUGUUCCCCAUCCAAUUGUGAGAAACUAGUGAUUGCCUUCCUCAGCU